GAGGGAAAACAAAGAAGAUUUGUGGUUGUAUGUUACCAUAUUCCUUUUCCACACCAUCAACAUGGGAUGAUGGUGAUGCAUGAAUUUAUUAAAGGCUUAUAACCGGCCAUGACACUUUCAUAGCAGGAUACCAAGAAGUGAUAAACGUGCAAGAUACAAAAAAGUUUACGCAAGAUUUCUUAUUGUCAAGAUCACAAAAGAAAAAAUCAAGUGAUCAUAUGUUUCGUCUUGCAACAGUGUCGCAAUAUCGCCUAGGUGACGGUUGUUCUAUUAUUAUAAUGACUAGCUGUAAAUACAUCUUGUUUUUCUGAAGAUAUUUUUUAGCGCUUAAA